GAUGAAGAACGUAGCGAAAUGCGAUAAGUAGUGUGAAUUGCAGAAUUCAGUGAAUCAUCGAAUCUUUGAACGCACAUUGCGCCUUCUAGUAUUCUGGGAGGCAUGCCUGUUUGAGCGUCAUUAAACCUCUCUCAAGUAUGAUUACUUGGAUGUGAAGGAAGAGUACCUUAAACUUAAGGAGUGUUCUCCUUUGAAAUUGAUUAGCAGAUGGUAAUGUUAUUAAAUCCCUGAUGUUGUAAGAAAUAACAGUGGUUUUGUAGACUAUUAUCUAGCUUUAAAUUAUAAUUUUUAUUAUGGUUGACCUCAAAUCAGGUAAGGAUACCCGCUGAACUUAAGCAUAUCAAUAAGCUGAGGA
rnacentral:misc_RNA from 1 species